GAUGAAGAACGUAGCGAAAUGCGAUAAGUAGUGUGAAUUGCAGAAUUCAGUGAAUCAUCGAAUCUUUGAACGCACAUUGCGCCCCUUGGUUUCCCGAGGGGCAUGCCUGUUCGAGCGUCAUUUCACCACUCAAGCCUGGCUUGGUGUUGGGCGACGUCCCCUUUGGGGACGCGCCUCGAAACGCUCGGCGGCGUGGCACCGGCUUUAAGCGUAGCAGAAUCUUUCGCUUUGGAAGUCGGGGCCCCGUCUGCCGGAAGACCUACUCGCAAGGUUGACCUCGGAUCAGGCAGGGAUACCCGCUGAACUUAAGCAUAUCAAUAAGCGGAGGA
rnacentral:misc_RNA from 1 species